rnacentral:rRNA from 1 species
ACUCCUACGGGAGGCAGCAGUAGGGAAUCUUCCACAAUGGGCGCAAGCCUGAUGGAGCAACACCGCGUGAGUGAAGAAGGGUUUCGGCUCGUAAAGCUCUGUUGUUAAAGAAGAACACGUAUGAGAGUAACUGUUCAUACGUUGACGGUAUUUAACCAGAAAGUCACGGCUAACUACGUGCCAGCAGCCGCGGUAAUACGUAGGUGGCAAGCGUUAUCCGGAUUUAUUGGGCGUAAAGAGAGUGCAGGCGGUUUUCUAAGUCUGAUGUGAAAGCCUUCGGCUUAACCGGAGAAGUGCAUCGGAAACUGGAUAACUUGAGUGCAGAAGAGGGUAGUGGAACUCCAUGUGUAGCGGUGGAAUGCGUAGAUAUAUGGAAGAACACCAGUGGCGAAGGCGGCUACCUGGUCUGCAACUGACGCUGAGACUCGAAAGCAUGGGUAGCGAACAGGAUUAGAUACCCUGGUAGGAUAACG